rnacentral:tRNA from 1 species
UCUGGGGAUGUAGUUCAGUGGCAAAGCACUUGCCUAACACAUGCAAGGACCUGUGUUCAAUCCACAGUACUGGAG